rnacentral:lncRNA from 1 species
AUCUGGAGAUCAUCCCUCUUGGAGUCCCUUUGUGAGCCCAGGACAUGGUGUCAGUGUUCAGCUCCCUGAAUGAGCUCACUAUAAAGCUUCAUGGGAAGUUAAGAUGAGGUGGCAAUGUUCAGCCAGCAUCCAGGAAUGAAGAGCAGAACUGGGUUCAACUGUCACCCAACUGCAGAUAUUCAGAAAUUCCACAGCCAAACUCUCAAGAAUAGUCUUGAUGGGUUCAGAUAGAUAUUUGUGCUCUGAAAAGUAGAAUGGUGGAAACAAGAAUGAUCUUCAACUUUCAUUCAGGGAUCACUGCAACUAAGACCACUUUUCAGUUAGUGACAUCUUUGCUGGUAGGAAGAUAUAAAUCAGAUGCCUUUUAAAGGAAGGUGUUUCUUUUUAUCAUUUUUCUUCUUUAGGAGUAAGCAAUAUCACUUACUUACAGAAGUAAACAUAGAACAGCAGAAUUUGAUUCCUCCCCUCCCCCAGCAUAAGUAGGCAGAAAAAAGUAAUGACUUUGCACAGAAACUAAAUGAAACUAAACAGUGCUUUCUGGGGGUUUGGUGCAGUAAAUCUCCAUGCUACUGAAAGCAGAAAAAACCCACUACUGUCAAACAGACCACACUGAUCCCUUUUACCAUCACCAAUCUUUCUGCCACAGAUUAUGCUGCCUCUGUCCAUACUUGCCUCCUUCCACCACUGUGGAUCUGUCCCCCUAUGAACAUCACUGGAAGAAAAAAAAGAUCAGGGCUAAGAAUGAAGUAUCAGCAUUGCACUGUAAUGAUUUUACACUUUGUUUAAUGCUCUUUUUUUCUGGUUUGCAGAAAGCUGAAUGUGUUUGUUUAAGCAGUAUUUUGAAAAAAUAGAAUUGUGAGGCUCUGAUUCUAUAAAUACCUGCACUUGAGUCAAGCUUAAGAGCCAAUGAUGGCACACAUGUGAUGCUCACUGAGAGGCACAGCCUGAGGCUUUGAUCAUCAGAGGUUUUGAUGAUACUUGCUAAGCCUUCAUGGAAUCAUGCUGACCAAUUUCAGUGUUUGAAGAGUUUAAGAUGGGGAGGGGGAAUAAAUUAAACUGCCUUCAGCAGCUAUGUUUCUGUCAUGAAACACAGUAAAUGAAUUGAAAUAUGAAUUUACAAAUAAAUAUAUAGUAAUAAAGGUGUAGUUUACC